rnacentral:rRNA from 1 species
AUGAACGCUGGCGGCGUGCCUAAUACAUGCAAGUCGAGCGAACGGACGAGAAGCUUGCUUCUCUGAUGUUAGCGGCGGACGGGUGAGUAACACGUGGAUAACCUACCUAUAAGACUGGGAUAACUUCGGGAAACCGGAGCUAAUACCGGAUAAUAUUUUGAACCGCAUGGUUCAAAAGUGAAAGACGGUCUUGCUGUCACUUAUAGAUGGAUCCGCGCUGCAUUAGCUAGUUGGUAAGGUAACGGCUUACCAAGGCAACGAUGCAUAGCCGACCUGAGAGGGGGAUCGGCGACACUGGAACUGAGACACGGUCCAGACUCCUGCGGGAGGCAGCAGUAGGGAAUCUUCCGCAAUGGGCGAAAGCCUGACGGAGCAACGCCGCGUGAGUGAUGAAGGUCUUCGGAUCGUAAAACUCUGUUAUUAGUGAAGAACAUAUGUGUAAGUAACUGUGCACAUCGUGACGGUACCUGAUCAGAAAGCCACGGCUAACUACGUG